rnacentral:rRNA from 1 species
GACGAACGCUGGCGGCGUGCUUAACACAUGCAAGUCGAGCGGAGAAUAUAGCAAUAUAUUCUUAGCGGCGGACGGGUGAGUAACGCGUGGGCAAUCUGCCUCAUACAGGGGGAUAACACUGGGAAACUAGUGCUAAUACCGCAUAAAAUAAUGAAGUGGCAUCACUUUAUUAUCAAAGGAGAAAUCCGGUGUGAGAUGAGCCCGCGUCCGAUUAGCUAGUUGGAGGGGUAACGGCCCACCAAGGCGACGAUCGGUAGCCGAACUGAGAGGUUGAUCGGCCACAUUGGGACUGAGACACGGCCCAGACUCCUACGGGAGGCAGCAGUGGGGAAUAUUGCGCAAUGGGGGAAACCCUGACGCAGCAACGCCGCGUGAAGGAUGAAGGUUUUCGGAUUGUAAACUUCUUUGAUUGGGGAAGAUAAUGAUGGUACCCAAAAAACAAGCCACGGCUAACUACGUGCCAGCAGCCGCGGUAA